rnacentral:misc_RNA from 1 species
AAUAUAUUAGCUAUGGAUCACGAUGUGUUUGAUCUACGGUGUGAUACAUGUCUACGCUAUAGAUCUUACACGCUAGUUACCGCCUUCGGGUAGUGCUCUUAGGAGCCGUGUGACGAGUGAAUACAAAGCUUCUAAUCGUCUUCGGACAAAUUUACUUGACAUCUGACCUCAAAUCAGGUAGGACUACCCGCUGAACUUAA